GCCAGACUCCUACGGGAGGCAGCAGUGGGGAAUAUUGCACAAUGGGGGGAACCCUGAUGCAGCGACGCCGCGUGAGUGAAGAAGUAUUUCGGUAUGUAAAGCUCUGUCAGCAGGGAAGAAGAAAGACGGUACCUGACCAAGAAGCCCCGGCUAACUACGUGCCAGCAGCCGCGGUAAUACGUAGGGGGCAAGCGUUAUCCGGAUUUACUGGGUGUAAAGGGAGCGUAGACGGCAGGGCAAGUCUGGAGUGAAAGGCGGGGGCCCAACCCCUGGACUGCUCUGGAAACUGUCCGGCUGGAGUGCAGGAGAGGUAAGUGGAAUUCCUAGUGUAGCGGUGAAAUGCGUAGAUAUUAGGAGGAACACCGGUGGCGAAGGCGGCCUGCUGGACUGUAACUGACGUUGAGGCUCGAAAGCGUGGGGAGCAAACAGGAUUAGAUACACCCGUA
rnacentral:rRNA from 1 species